rnacentral:rRNA from 1 species
UAGUCUACGCCGUAAACGAUGGAUACUAGUUGUUUGAUCUUCGGAUUGAGUGACUAAGCGAAAGUGAUAAGUAUCCCACCUGGGGAGUACGUUCGCAAGAAUGAAACUCAAAGGAAUUGACGGGGGCCCGCACAAGCGGUGGAGCAUGUGGUUUAAUUCGAUGAUACGCGAGGAACCUUACCAGGGCUUAAAUGUAGUAUGACAGGUUUAGAGAUAGACUUUUCUUCGGACAUAUUACAAGGUGCUGCAUGGUUGUCGUCAGCUCGUGCCGUGAGGUGUCAGGUUAAGUCCUAUAACGAGCGCAACCCUUGUCGUUAGUUGCCAGCAUGUAAUGAUGGGGACUCUAACGAGACUGCCGGUGCAAACCGAGAGGAAGGUGGGGAUGACGUCAAAUCAUCACGGCCCUUACGUCCUGGGCCACACACGUGCUACAAUGGUAUGGACAAUGAGCAGCCAUCUGGCAACAGGGAGCAAAUCUAUAAACCAUAUCAC